rnacentral:rRNA from 1 species
CCUACGGGAGGCAGCAGUGGGGAAUAUUGCACAAUGGGGGAAACCCUGAUGCAGCGACGCCGCGUGAGUGAUGAAGUAUUUCGGUAUGUAAAGCUCUAUCAGCAGGGAAGAUAAUGACGGUACCUGACUAAGAAGCUCCGGCUAAAUACGUGCCAGCAGCCGAGGUAAUACGUAUGGAGCAAGCGUUAUCCGGAUUUACUGGGUGUAAAGGGGGCGCAGGCGGCAGGGCAAGUCUGAUGUGAAAGUCCCGGGCUCAACCCCGGGACUGCAUUGGAAACUGUCCGGCUAGAGUGUAGGUGAGGUAAGCGGAAUGCAUAGUGUAGCGGUGAAAUGCGUAGAGAUCAGGCGGAACACCAGUUGCGAAGGCGGCUUACCGGACUGUAACUGACGUUGAGGCUCGAAAGCGUGGGGAGCAAACAGGAUUAGAUACCCGGGUAGUC